UACGGAGGGUGCGAGCGUUGUUCGGAAUUACUGGGCGUAAAGGGCGCGUAGGCGGCUAUUUAAGUCAGAUGUGAAAGUCCACGGCUCAACCGUGGAAGUGCAUUUGAAACUGGAUGGCUUGAGUACUGGAGGGGGUGGUGGAAUUCCCGGUGUAGAGGUGAAAUUCGUAGAUAUCGGGAGGAAUACCGGUGGCGAAGGCGACCACCUGGCCAGAUACUGACGCUGAGGUGCGAAAGCGUGGGGAGCAAACAGG
rnacentral:rRNA from 1 species